GCGCCCCAGGGCCUGCGGGGGGCGCCGGACGGGAGCGCGACGGAAGGGGCUGAGAGAGCAAGAAGACCCCCAAAAAAUGUUAACAGUUAGUCAAAAAUUAAUUUUCAUCCUUUGCAUUUACGGCGGAACCUCAAUGUAAUGGACCCCGAUUUAACAGACUUUGGAUUCUGUUGCAGCCACAUGGCCCACACCGGCUAUAUCGCGCAGCUGACCAUCUUGCCUGACACACCACGUUUUGAUUCUGACAGAAGCUGCGCUGACAUAAAUCCAGAGAGUUGGAGUCAAAGCUGCGAAUGACAAGGCAUCAAGCAAGAAGAGUGGCAGGAUGGUGCAAAACAAGGCAGCAUUGGUGAAUCCACGUCAGUACGCUCAUCAAGAAGCUUGGUGAUUUCAAGUGGGACUUUGUGUGAUUUUACACACGCACAGAAACACAUGUUAAAGUCACUAGUGUUAAGCCUGUCCAAUGCUGUUAGACUUUCAAUAAAAAAAAAAAAAAUUUAAAGUUUGAAAAAGAAUUACUACUUCUUACUAGAAUUAAAAAAAUUGAAUAUCAUGGAAAUGUCAUGAACAGAACAGAGGAUAGGACCAAAAAAAUACACGACUCCAAAACAAAUGGACAGUUUUAAAAAAGAAAGGUUCAAUAUACGGGCAGAGGUCGGUACACAGGCAGGCAAUCCAAAAAAGGCAACAGUAUCCAAAAACGUGAGGCAAAAAGGCAAGGUCGAUAAUCGGAACAGGGUCUAGUCUUACUGUGAGUCGGUGACGUGGAAACAAGGUAUGCUGGAACGCGACGACAAGGUACAACGAACUGGCGACGAGAAAGAAUGAGACACGAGGUUAAAUGCAAGGGGUAAUUAGGGUGAAUGAGGCACAGGUGGUGAAGAUGCUCACAGGAGCAGGUGUGUGUGAAACAGGGGGGAAGACAAAACCCGGAACACACACCUAUGACAGGAAAAGUUUAUUUAUUUCUAUAAUUCCAUUGAAAAAGUUACACUUUCAUAGAUUAUAGAUUCAGGGCCCACAAUUUAAACAAUUUCAAGUAUUUAUUUGUUUAUUUUUGCAUAAUUUGGACGUCCAGGUCAUGAAACCCACAAAAUCAGGAAUUCAAAAAAUUUUAAUACACUGAAGAAAUAAGCCCAAAUUUUGUAGGCCAUAAUUUUUUUAAACUGAGUGUCACACACUAAUCAUCUACUAAACUCAAAGAACCUGCACAGGUUUCCCCAGGUGUCAUUAAAUUACUUCAGAUGGGUUCAAUAUGGGGAAGACUGCACACUUGACAACUGGCCAGAAGACCAUCAUUGAGACCUUCCAUAGGAUGGGUAAGACACAAACGUUCAUACCUAAGGAGGCUGGCUGUUCACAGAGUGCUGUGUCCAAUCAUAUCAAUGGAAAGUCUAGUGGAAGGACAAAAAUGUGGCAGGAGAAGAUGCACCAGCAAAAGAGAUGACUGUGGGCUUCAGCGGAUUAUCAAACAGAGAAGAUUCAAUAAUCUAACAGAGAUUCAGAAAGAGUGUAAUGAGGCGCGAGUCACAGCUUCAAACCCCACCACAUUCAGACGCAUUCGGGAGAUAGGCGACAACUGUCGGAUUCCUCGGGUCAAGCCACUUCUGAUCCUGAGCCAACGUAGGAAGUGUCUCACCUGGGCCAAAGAGAAGAAGGACUGGACUCUUGGCCAGUGGUCCAAGGUCCUCUUUUCCGAUGAAAGUAAAAUGUGCCUUUCAUUCGGGAAUCAAGAUCCAAGGGUUUGGAGGAAGACGGGUGAAGAACAGAACCCAAGCUGCUUGAGGUCCAGUGUGAAAUAUCCACAGUCAGUCAUUAUUUGGUGCAAUGUCCAGUGCAGGUGUUGGUAAAUUCUGCUUUCUUAAAUCCAAGGUCACCGCAACAAUCUACCAGAAUGUUUUUGAGGAUUUCAUGAUUCCUUCUGCUGAGGAUCUGUUUGGAGAUGCAGAUUUCAUCUUCCAGCAGGACCUGGCCGCUGCCCAUACCGCCAGAAGCACCAAAACCUACUUUGAUGCCCAUGCCAUCACAGUGCUUGACUGGCUGGCCAACUCGUCGGCUCUAAACCCCAUUGAGAAUCUAUGGGGUAUUAUCAAGAGGAAAAUGAUGGGCACCAGACCCAAAAACAAAGAACUGACAGCAUCAAGGAAAUCUGGGCUUCCAUAACUCCUGGUUGUUUGUUUGUAUGUGCCCUGCGAUUGGCUGGCAACCAGUUCAGGGUGUACCCCGCCUGCUGCCCGGUGAUAGCUGGGAUAGGCUCCAGCACGCCCGCGACCCUAGUGAGGAGAAGCGGCUCAGAAAAUGGACGGAUGAUUUCUUCACAGUAUUCUAAUUUUUUGAAUUCCUGGUUUUGUGGGUUUUAUGAGAUGGAAGCCCAAAUUAUGUAAAAAUAAACAAAUAAAUACU